AGAUGAGAUCCAAAGGAGUUGAUCUUGGCCGUCCAAAUUAGUAUAAAAGAAGCCCAAAAACUCUCUUCUUUCUCUGCAAGUUACUUCUCCUUCUCCUUUGAUUUUCCUCUCGGUCCAGUGGCUAAGAUAGCAAGAAGAGAGCUAUUAAACUCUCUCUUCUAGGAAAACAGAAAAAAAAAAAAUCCAGCCCUCUUUCAUCUUUGUUUCGGUUCAGCAAGGAAAGAAAGAAAGCAGAAUCUCUUCUCAAAGCUUUCUUCUCUCCCUCUGUUACGAGUAGACAGCAACUAAAAGGAAAGGAAACCAAGAAAUUUCCAGAUUUUUGGGUGUUAUGACACUGUAGACCGGAGUAUUUUCUUUAUGGAUGGCAUAGACCACACCCUAAGAGCAAUAGAUCAAUAAAGACCGGUCUAACUUUUGUAUUGUACAUAUUUAUUUUGAAUUCCUAAAAAAAUGAUGUAAUAAUUAAAAAACUACUAUGUAUAUAUUCUUAUAAUGAAAUAUAGCCAUGUGCUAUUCCUGGGAAAA